AGGCAGAGAAGAAAUCAGCAAAAUCAGAUGGAGCAGUGCUGGCCGGGCAAAAAGCAUAUCAUUUUUUGACGGGCAUGAGGCCAAACUGAGGAGGCAUGCCUGCCCCGUAAAAUCACUGCCCUUGGUGGUCUCAGUUGAACCUGAAAUUGAGAUUAAAUUGGUCAGUGUCACCUGUUAUUACUCAAAGAAUUACCACACUGUAGCUUGCUGCAGCUUCCUUCUACUGCUAGUUUCAUGGUGCAGAUUGUUUACUUCUGCCUCAGGCUGCUGCUUGGUUGUUGGCCAUCAAAAGCCCUUUCUUCUUUUCUCGCUGGAAAGAUGCACCCAGUCAUCCGCUCCUCAUCAACCUACAGUAUGUUCAUGAAUAAAUAGCAACUGUGGAAGACAUGUGAGCAGAAUCAAAUGAUACCUUUAUUUCAAACUCUGGGCCCAUUGAGGGAGACCCUUAUUUUCAAUUGGGCCGAGUGCACAGCACGCAUUUCAGCAAAUAGACAACAACACUUAAAUUACAAGAGAUAAAAAGUUUAAACAAUCAGGGAAGGCAGACACAAGAAUAUACAUAGAAGUCAUUUAUCAAAGCUUUACAUUGACUGAUAGAUGGGGGAGGGGCCAAUUAUAAGGAGCUUUGUGCCACAUUCCAGGAAUGUGGAGCAGCAGAUGAAAAAGCACUCUUGCCAAGCCCAGUCCGACUACGAGGGGCCUCAAGUAAAAGCCAUCCAUUGGACCGAGUAGAAAAUGGAUUUACAUAUGGAGUUAACAAUAUGGAAAUGUAAUAAGGGUAAUUUAUCAAGAAGUGCUUUACAGACACCAUUUUGUCUCAUCUCAAGAGAUUGCCAACCAGUCAUAUCAUACAAAAGACAGUGGUGAGUGUUAUAACUUUCAUCUGUAAUAAAUCUAAGUACAGAUUGAUAGACCAAAUCUAGGGGUUUUAACGUUGAAGACGCAGUGUGCCUAUGAAUCACAUCUACAUAAUCAAAAACAGGCAAGAGAGUAGCUUC